AGAAUCAACGCUGGCGGCGUGCCUAACACAUGCAAGUCGAACGCGGUUGCCCCGCAAGGGGUAACUGAGUGGCGAACGGGUGAGUAACACGUGGGUGACCUACCUUCGAGUGGGGGAUAACGUCCCGAAAGGGACGCUAAUACCGCAUAACAUCCUGCCUUUGAACAGGCGGUGAUCAAAGCCGGGGAUCGCAAGACCCGGCGUUUGAAGAGGGGCCCGCGUCCGAUUAGCUAGUUGGUGAGGUAAUGGCUCACCAAGGCGACGAUC
rnacentral:rRNA from 1 species